GGAUUUGCAUGGAGCUAGUUGGUGGCAGAGGCAAGCUAUGCUCUCAGAGCAUGCCUGCAUUUUAAAAGGCCGGAAGGAAAUACGUCCACAUGCUAACUUGCCCCUGGCCACGCUUUUCUGGUUCUUAUCCAUGUUCUGCAGUAAACCUGUUUUGCUGUCAACAAUCAACCCAGCAUCAUGGCGAAAGGCAAAUGGCCUGAGGGCCUUCUGCCCAGGGUUGGGCUUGCGGCCUGGGUCCCUUGGGCUGGACUGAGGUGGAUCUGGGGGCCUGUGCAUCUCCUGGUUACUCCCAGGAACUGAGGGGAUGGCCCUGCUCUGUCCAGAUCCCCCUCCCAGCCCUGGGCCAGAAUCCUCCUUCCAGAACAGCCCCUGCAGACAUACUUAGCCAUUCCCAGCCCCAGCUUCAGGAAGCCUCCUGUACUUUCCAGAACUGAUUACGACGAGUGUGAAAGGAAAGAGGACGACUGUGUGCCGGGGACAUCCUGUCGAAACACCCUCGGGUCUUUCACUUGUAGCUGCGAGGGAGGAGCCCCCGACUUCCCUGUGGAAUAUUCUGAGAGACCCUGUGAAGGUGACUCUCCUGGCAAUGAAACCUGGGCCACCAGCCCAGAGAGGCCUCUCACCACAGCAGGGACCAAGGCUGCCUUUGUGCAAGGCACCAGCCCCACCCCUCAAGGCCUGCCCCAGCGGCUGAACCUGACCGCAGCAGUCAGGGUGCUCUGUGAGAUCGAGAAGGUGGUUGUCGCCAUCCAGAAGCGCUUCCUGCAGCAGGAAUCCAUCCCCGAGUCCUCGUUGUACCUCAGCCACCCCUCCUGCAACGUGAGCCACAGCAAUGGCACACACGUGCUCCUGGAGGCCGGCUGGAACGAGUGUGGGACCCUCAUGCAGAGCAACAUGACGAACACCGUGGUGAGGACCACGCUGAGGAACGACCUGUCCCAGGAGGGCAUCAUCCACCACCUGAAGAUCCUGAGCCCCAUCUACUGCGCCUUCCAGAAUGACCUGCUGACAUCCUCCGGCUUCACCCUGGAGUGGGGGGUUUACGCCAUCAUCGAGGACCUCCACGGUGCUGGGAAUUUUGUUACUGAAAUGCAGUUGUUUAUCGGAGACUCUCCCAUACCUCAGAAUUAUAGCGUGUCUGCCAGUGACGACGUCAGGAUCGAAGUGGGGCUCUACAGGCAGAAAAGCAACCUCAAGGUGGUCCUGACGGAGUGCUGGGCAACCCCGUCUAGCAACGCCCGGGACCCCGUCACCUUCAGCUUCAUUAACAACAGCUGCCCCGUGCCCAACACAUACACCAACAUGAUUGAGAACGGCAACUCCAAUAAGGCCCAGUUCAAGCUGAGGGUCUUUUCCUUUAUCAACAACUCCAUCGUCUACCUGCACUGCAAACUCCGCAUCUGCAUGGAAUCCCCCGGGGCCACGUGCAAAAUCAAUUGCAAUAACUUUCGGUUGCUGCAAAAUAGUGAAACCUCUGCCACACACCAGAUGUCCUGGGGACCCCUCAUCCGGUCUGAAGGUGAGCCUCCACAUGCAGAAGCAGGCCUGGGUGCCGGUUAUGUGGUCCUUAUUGUGGUGGCCAUCUUCGUGCUGGUGGCGGGAACAGCCACCCUUCUGAUCAUGCGCUACCAGAGAAUGAAUGGGAGAUACAACUUUAAAAUCCAGUCCAACAACUUCAGCUACCAGGUGUUCUAUGAAUAGGAGGCGCAGGCUGACAGGAAGGUCGCCGUGAGUCAACCUGCCUCCAGAACCUCAGAGCUUCCCUGGUGGGCUCCCCCGGGAUCCCCAGUGUCUCUCUGCGCCUCCACCCAUCCCUCGGUUCUUAACUCUUCAAGCCUUAACGGAGGUCUGCUCUGACGGGUGGGCUCUGCCAGAGCCCGGGUGAGCCCAGAAAGGAAGACAGCAGCCACCGUCUGCCCCGAAGAGGCAGGCCGUCCUGUAGGUCCUAGAGGAGCCACAGCCCACGGGCAGAUGAAGGGGCUGCGGAAGACGGGGGUAGUCCUGGGGGUGCUGCGGCUACACCACCACCCGCGCGGCCCCCACAGCCCAGACCUCCCAGGCCUGUGACCCUCCACACCAGCCCUCAGAACCCUCCUGGGCUUGCCCUCCCUUGGCGUCCGUCACCCUUUGGCAAAUAUAGAAUAUUUCACAUUCUCAGAGAGACCCGACCGUGCUCUUGAUGCUUUUGAAAAUAGGUCAGUCUUAGAAAUAUACUGCUAAUGUUAUUUUUAGUGGAUGUUUAUGCUCUUUGACUUUUCUCCUGUGUACCAAGGUAUUGCUUUUAUUUACACGACAGCGACUCAAAAGGCACUCGAUUAAUGUGACAACCUUUUCAAUAAGUAGAAAUAACGUAGGUACACAUCACUCUUUACAUUUUUCUAAGCAUUUUCACAGCCGUUUCUUCAUAUAAUCUGACCACAGUGGGAGGUGUGAUUUACCCAUUACACAAUGAGAAACCAGAGGAGCUGAUGAGUUACUUAAUUGAGGUCACAGAAUGAAUUAGCAAGAAAAUGGUUCUAAAAUCUAAGUAUUUUAGUCUAGAAUUUUCUCCAUUAUAUCAUCCUAAGAGAUAAUGCUCUGUACUUCAUUUGAAAUAAACUAGAAUUGUAUUAGAUAGCUC
rnacentral:sRNA from 1 species